ACGCAGAGAGCUAUCUAGCCCUUCCCAUCAUGUGAGGACAUAGCAAGAAGUCACCAUCUAUGAGGAGGAAGAUCUUCACCAGACCCAAAUUUGCUGGCACCUUGACCUUGGGCUUCCCAGCCUUCAGAACUGUACUCUCAGAAACCACCUCUGGCCUGAAAAGGGGCCGACUGAAACAUAUACCUAUUUGAAGAUCCCUGGCACACAGAUACAGCAGAAGAAGCCCAAAUGUGUUAUCAAACCAUUGAGAGAAACAGAACUUUCCUCAAAGCCAAGAAACAGCUUUCAAAAGGAAGUUUCCCAAAAACUCUUCUAAAAGUACCAGCAUAUCUUCAAACCAAAUGAGGAAAUUGCAGGCCACAGAUACAAGUAACCAGCUUAACCACUGGAUUGUGCUCUCUCUUUCCUUCUGUAAUCUACUUUGAACAAAUAAUACAAACGUGAAUAAUCCA
rnacentral:lncRNA from 1 species